CCUACGGGGGGCAGCAGUGGGGAAUAUUGCACAAUGGGGGAAACCCUGAUGCAGCGACGCCGCGUGAGUGAAGAAGUAUUUCGGUAUGUAAAGCUCUGUCAGCAGGGAAGAAAAUGACGGUACCUGACCAAGAAGCCCCGGCGAACUACGUGCCAGCAGCCGCGGUAAUACGUAGGGGGCAAGCGUUGUCCGGAUUUACUGGGUGUAAAGGGCGUGUAGCCGGGCUGACAAGUCAGAUGUGAAAUUCCGGGGCUCAACCCCGGACCUGCAUUUGAAACUGUUGGUCUUGAGUAUCGGAGAGGCAG
rnacentral:rRNA from 1 species